AUCACUUCUCAGCCUUUUAGUUAAGAUCAAAUGUAGUAUCUGUUCUUGUCAGUUUAAUAUUUGAUACAGUCCCUAUCAGGGGAACACAUAUUAACUUGAUUUUAAGGACAGGGAAGUGGAAUAGGGCAGGCUUGGCCAACUCCAGACCUCGAGGGCCGGUGUCCUGCAGGUUUUAGAUAUCACCCUGA